AUUCAAUUCAUUAAAAUGUUUGAACCGAUAAUGGUUCCAGUUAAGGAAAAUAUUUCAUCUUUUUUUGCAAAAGUUAUAAAAGCUAAUGUCGUUCAGGCAUGACAGAAUAUCAAGUGAACUGUGAAAAAUUAAAAAUUUUUUUUUGCAUUUAUUUUUACAUUUAUGUUUAAUAAGUUGUAUUGCUCUUUAUAGGUUAAUAUUAGUCCGUCUUUUUGGUGAAUUUUAUUUAUGCGAGUGAGUUGCUUUUCCGUAAGGAAGUCUGUGGUUUAUUACAUUAAUUAAAUUAAUUAUUGCGGUAAGUUUUUCGAAAUUUUCACCCUUUUUUUCAUAACUUAAAACGUCUAUAAAUAAAUCGGUGUACAUUUAAUUUAAUUAAUUAAUUAAUUCAUUGAUUGUUCUUUAUAAUACAACAUUUUACUUGGCUGAAUUGCUUUUGGUCGACCAGUCAGUCAAUUUUGAGCCAUUUUAUUUAAUUCAAAAGGAUACUUACGGAAAUUUCUACUGUAGUAGACAUCAGAUCAGAUCAGAUCAGAGAAACCGAACAAAAGAAACCACCUAAGUAGAGAAAGGAAAAGAGAAAUAU